rnacentral:lncRNA from 7 species
AAGAUACUAUGCUAAAAUUGGCCUGUUGCAGAUAGCCUGUAGCCCUACAGACUGCUUUGCGAAAAAGAAGCUUCCGUUAUGCUUUGUGACAAAUCUUGUAGUUUGUGUGUUACAUGUGCUCUGCAGAGAACCUGUUGUAUCAGCCAGGAUAAUCCAGUUUCCAGAUUUCAUUUUGGAGAAUGUAGACCUUUUUUAAAUUCUUCAGGCUAGUUUCGUUCUGGCUAUGCAACAGGGAGGCUGAGCUGAGUCCUACUCUGGAGAAGAGAGAAACCCCAUUUAGCACGGAGAAACUCCUCAUGUAGCCAGUCAGGAAUCUCAGCUGAAAAUUGGCUGUGCAAAAGUUAUCUCUGUGCCCCUGUCAACCUGUUUGAGUGGGGUAGUACUGAAAGUGCUCAAAGAGCAUAUACCGUUUUUGGAAAAGUGUCAAGUUCUGCUUGGAGACAUUGCUCUUAAUUGUCACUUCUCACUUCAGGCCAAUACUUUGCUAUGAUGCAAACUUUAAAACUGUCCCUCUCCUCAUUCUUCAGGAUAUGUAAGGAUUUUUAUUACGUCAGAAACUCUCUUUAGAGGAGUUUAAGUUAACUGUCUUAGGACUGUAGUUAACACGCCUUUUCUUAAAUAGCAUGCCAAACUGCUAAGGGUUGAUAAAGCAGAAGCUGUAAGCUAGAGCACUGUCACAAAGAAUGCUGAACAUUUUCGUGGAAAAAAAUAUGAUAUUUUUUAGUUGGUUUGCUUUUUUGUUGUUAUUUUUAAGAGUCUGUGACAGCAAAGUUUUUCUCUGUUCAUCUUGCCAAAAUAAAACUUAAUUUACAAAU